rnacentral:piRNA from 1 species
UAAUAAGACCGUAAAGUGACAGCAUUUGUUUA